GCACCCCCUAAGGAUGGAAUGUAUGCAUUAAGUACUUACGUGUACUUCGAACAUGAAUCGCUUUUCUGGGCUGGGAACUUGUAAAUCCUUCUAUUUAUUUUGAAACACAUCACAAAUGGUUGUAGACAGUUGUCGCCCUACUGUGCUGUAGCAAACCAGAGUUAGUUCCUCCGCCCACCAUAUGUGGCUGCCCGGCAUCUAGGCUCCCUCUGCUCAUUAAGCUUCUGUCCUGCUCUGCGUCAAGGCUGAGGCAGGGGAUCCUAUUUGCCUGUUCUUGCUCCUCUCACAAAAACCCACAGCUGUGGAGACCCAAGCCUGGAGGUCAGGCUCCGUUGUCCUGCAAACCCUGGCAUUGUCUUCUAGACAGCCAUGCUGGUUUGGAGUCUGGAGAAUCAGCCAGGAAGGAGAACAUAGCUCAGGUCUUCCCUUCCUCGUUGGCUAACACCCAACAAAUAUGGGAUGUUGGUGCCCAGGGGUGGAGACUGGACCCGGAACUGUUCUAGAUAAGGAGCUAAGAAAGGCCUCUAGUGGGAGGCGACAGUAGGGGCUGCACGGAAGGGGAGGAUCCUGCCUCAGGGGGAGGUUGGCCUGGAGGAACAGAAAAGCAGGCUGGGGAGUGGGGAUGUGGCAGGACACUGGGCUCCAGGCAGGGCAUUGGAGUAAGGUUGGGUUGGCUGGCCUGGUUCCAGUCAAGAUGUGAACACACCAGAAAGCAGAACAGUUACUGCUGUUGAGGUUCAGGGAGACAAGUGACCUGUGUCUGUAAGUCCGGGUGGGGGUCAUGUCCCUCCUGACUUCCCUCCCCCAAAGCCUCCCUGGAAAAGGAGCUAAGAUAUGGGUGAGGAUGGAGGCCACAGAGCGCCAGAUCUCCCGGAACCUGGAGCAGAGCGCAGCUGCAAGGGCAAAGGGUCUCGUGUCAAGUCCACACACAGUCGUGUGGGGCUGGCUCUCUCUGCUGCAGGCCGGGGCUCAGCAUCACCGCCCUUACCCCACCCCAAAAGACAAAAAUCCCUGCUGGAAUUCCCACCGCCUAAGCAUGGAGCACGGGGAAGACUUCUAUCUUUGGCCUUACAGAUAAAUCAUCUGCCUCAGUGCAAACCUGGGUCCUGACAACUCAGGACAGCCCUUGGCUACCAUAUGCUGAGAAAGACCUCCCGAGCCAGCUGCCCCUCUGGCGGGCACCCAUGUCAGACAGAACAUCCUGUGAUCUGCAGCUUCAUUCCUGUUUUCUGGGGUGGGAUUUCAUGUCACUGAUGCUGCAAUCCUAAAGCAGGCAGUGUUUUUUAAACAUUUCACCCUCUUAGUGUCUCCAGGGCCACGUGACCAGAGGUGGCCAUCACAUCUGGAUGCCUGAUAAACCACCUCUGACUUCCAUGUUGGGGGCCCUGCCUGUGACAGGCAGCCACUUCAUUCCUUGGUGGCUAUGUGCCCAGACCUCGGGCAGAUCUGAAGACUUCCUUGGAACACAUAAGACCAGAGAGCUUUGUGCCAUACUCUGCUGUUUUCUCUGGCCCUUUCCUUAAUCAAGAAUGUAGACUGGGAUUUUGGAGGUCUAGGUUUUUGGGUUUACUGGGGGGAGCUAUGUCUUCUAGUCACUUGUUUAAGGUUCUUUUGAGAGAAGGAUGCUGGCACCCCUCCUGGAUAUCUGGAAAGAAUGUUUCCACCACACCUGUCUGCCUUGUGUGAGGACAAAUUUAAUAUAUUUC
rnacentral:lncRNA from 1 species